rnacentral:rRNA from 1 species
AUUGAACGCUGGCGGCAUGCCUUACACAUGCAAGUCGAACGGCAGCACGGGAGCAAUCCUGGUGGCGAGUGGCGAACGGGUGAGUAAAGUAUCGGAACGUGCCCAGUCGUGGGGGAUAACGUAGCGAAAGUUACGCUAAUACCGCAUACGAUCUAUGGAUGAAAGCGGGGGAUCGCAAGACCUCGCGCGAUUGGAGCGGCCGAUAUCAGAUUAGGCAGUUGGUGGGGUAAAGGCUCACCACGCCGACGAUCGGGAGCUGGUCUGAGAGGACGACCAGCCACACUGGGACUGAGACACGGCCCAGACUCCGACGGGAGGCAGCAGUGGGGAAUUGUGGGCAAUGGGCGAAAGCCUGAUCCAGCCAUGCCGCGUGCAGGAUUAAGGCCUUCGGGUUGUAAACUGCUUUGGUACGGAACGAAAAGGUUUGGCCUAAUAAGCUGAGCUCAUUACGGUACCGUAAGAAUAAGCACCGGCUAACUACGUGCCAGCAGCCGCCGUAACAC